rnacentral:tRNA from 1 species
AAGAAUUUAAGUUAAAUUAAACUAUUGACCUUCAAAGUCAACAUUAGAAUAAAUCUAAUUCUUA